GGAAGUAAAAGUCGUAACCAGGUUUCCGUAGGUGAACCUGCGGAAGGAUCAUUCAUAAUAGGUGUUUUAUGGCACUUUUUUAAAUCCAUAUCCACCUUGUGUGCAAUGUCAGGGUUGAUUUUUCUCUCGAGAGGAUCAACCCCAAACAUCAACUAUAUCUCAACUCUUUGUCUGAAAAAUAUUAUGAAUAAAACAAUUCAAAAUACAACUUUCAACAACGGAUCUCUUGGCUCUC
rnacentral:misc_RNA from 1 species